GACUACCUACGGGGCGCAGCAGUAGGGAAUAUUGCUCAAUGGGGGAAACCCUGAAGCAGCAACGCCGCGUGGAGGAUGAAGGUUUUAGGAUUGUAAACUCCUUUUGUAAGAGAAGAUUAUGACGGUAUCUUACGAAUAAGCACCGGCUAACUCCGUGCCAGCAGCCGCGGUAAUACGGAGGGUGCAAGCGUUACUCGGAGUCACUGGGCGUAAAGAGCGCGUAGGCGGGUGGUCAAGUCAGAUGUGAAAUCCUGUAGCUUAACUACAGAACUGCAUUUGAAACUUAUCAUCUUGUGUAUGGGAGG
rnacentral:rRNA from 1 species